rnacentral:rRNA from 1 species
UACGGGGGGAGCAAGCGUUGUUCGGAUUUACUGGGCGUAAAAGGGCGCGUAGGCGGUCAGCACAAGUCAGUUGUGAAAUCUCCGGGCUUAACUCGGAAAGGUCAACUGAUACUGUGCGACUAGAGUGCAGAAGGGGCAACUGGAAUUCUCGGUGUAGCGGUGAAAUGCGUAGAUAUCGAGAGGAACACCUGCGGCGAAGGCGGGUUGCUGGGCUGACACUGACGCUGAUGCGCGAAAGCCAGGGGAGGCGAACGGG